CAGCAGCCACGGUAAUACGAAGGGUGCAAGCGUUAAUCGGAAUUACUGGGCGUAAAGCGUGCGUAGGCGGUGAGUUAAGUCUGCUGUGAAAUCCCCGGGCUCAACCUGGGAAUGGCAGUGGAUACUGGCUCGCUAGAGUGUGUCAGAGGAUGGUGGAAUUCCCGGUGUAGCGGUGAAAUGCGUAGAGAUCGGGAGGAACAUCAGUGGCGAAGGCGGCCAUCUGGGACAACACUGACGCUGAGGCACGAAAGCGUGGGGAGCAAACAGGAUUAGAUACCCAGUAGUCCCUGUCUCUUAUACA
rnacentral:rRNA from 1 species